GUUCUAGUAUUUCCUGGACACACACUAAAAUUGAACCAAUAAACAGAAGAUUUGCACCGCCCUUGCGGAUGACAGGUAAAAUCGUAAAGCAUUCCAAAUUUUU